CCGGCUUUGUCGAGGGAGCCAGCCUGUCCGUGCAGGACAAGGUUCUCAACAGAGCGACUAAAGGAAUAAGCCAGUGUGGAGACCUGCUCUUUUGAGUGUCUGCUCCUAGGGGGUUGGGUAGCGACAUGGAGUUCUCAGGAGAGUAUGAGGGAAUCCAUGCUAUGAGGACUCUGCCAGCGUGACAAGUGUGAGGGCAGCCUGGGGUACAUGAGACUGUCUUUAAAAGGCUCAAGCUAAGGGCUACAGACUAGACUGUGUUGAAAAGAAAACUAGUGAACAGGAAGAAAUGUUUGCAGAAAAUAGGCAGAGGGCAAUACAGGAAAACAAGGAAGAAACAUAAACCAUCGCCAGGGCGCCAGACGCAGAAGAAACUAGACAGACGUCUCAUUUGAAAGAGGCCUGAAGACACUAGAAGAUUCUAUAUCUUUCUCAGGACCUGGCUAGCAUGCCACAGGGAGAUGGAGAAAUGGUGGAGAUGUCUGGGCCCUGGAUGAACUCAUAGCCAAGCACUAGCGCCAAGCCACCAGGCUGGGAGACUUUCGAAGAGGGAAGUGUAGUUAAUGGACGCCAGCAGGUGCCCUGCAGAGAAGCGAGCCCUUGCUCUGCGCAUCUUGUAGACUUUUACGCUACAUCAAUCAGCGCUGUUUUAGAUC
ensembl:processed_transcript